GAAAUGCGAUAAGUAGUGUGAAUUGCAGAAUUCAGUGAAUCAUCGAAUCUUUGAACGCACAUUGCGCCCUUUGGUAUUCCUUAGGGCAUGCCUGUUCGAGCGUCAUCUAAACCUUCAAGCCCUGCUUGGUGUUGGGUGCCUGUCCCGCCUCCGCGCGCGGCCUCACCUCAAAUCCAUUGGCGGCCCCCGCGUCGGCCACGAGCGCAGCAGAAACGCGAACUCGUGAGCCCGUCCGGGCGGCUCCCAGAAGCUACACCCACCCAGUUUGACCUCGGAUCAGGUAGGGAUACCCGCUGAACUUAAGC
rnacentral:misc_RNA from 1 species